UACAGAGGUCCCAAGCGUUGUUCGGAUUCAUUGGGCGUAAAGGGUGCGUAGGCGGCGCGGUAAGUCGGGUGUGAAAUCUCGGGGCUUAACUCCGGAAUUGCACCUCAAACUACAUGGCUAGAGCAUUGGAGAGGGUAGCAGAAUUCACGGUGUAGCAGUGAAAUGCGUAGAUAUCGUGAGGAAUACCAGAGGCGAAGGCGGCUACCUGGACAAUUGCUGACGCUCAGGCACGAAAGCGUGGGGAGCAAAAGGG
rnacentral:rRNA from 1 species